GGCGCCAUGGCCAAGUGGUAAGGCAGAGGUCUGCAAAACCUCUAUUCCCCAGUUCGAAUCUGGGUGGCGCCUCCA
rnacentral:tRNA from 1 species